UAAAAACUUAGUUUUACAUACUAACACUGCCUUUUGUGUAUAUUUAAACAGAACAAAUGGUAAUUUAUUAUGUUCUCCAGAAACUGAUUUUGCAACAUUGCUAAACUAGCAGACUGGAGAGAUGCUCACAAUUCUCAGAUGAUAUGAGUGUUUCUCUGCAUGGGCAUCAGAGCUGCCACUGCUUGACAUUCCAAGAACUUCCCAGCUACAGGUUCAUCACCUUCUCCUCCCAGGAAAGACAUGUGAGAUUCUGCACAGAGACAGGAAUGUCGCUGGGGGAUGCCAGCUGCCAUAUUGUGAAGACCCUCAAGCAUCCCUGUGGAGAGGUCCCCAUGGCACAGAAAUGGACUCUCAGCCCAAAAGCCAACAAAGAACCAAGGCCUCAAGCCAGCAGCCAUGGGAAUGGGAAUGUGCCAUCUUGGAAGCCAAUCCUGCAGCCCCAGUCAAGCCUUCAGAUGACAGUAGCCCCAGCCAAUAUCUUCACUGGAUCUUACUGAGAGACUAUGUGCCAGCAUGACCCUACUAAACAACUCUCAAAUUUCUGACCCUCAGAAAUUGUGUGAGAUAAUAAUUGUUUUUUGUUUUAAUAUGCUAAGCUUUAGGUUUGUUUGUUACUCCAAAUUAGACAACUAAUUCAGAAUGCAAUAUAUACACUCAGCCAGGUCAACUCCUCUGCUUCUUGAUGCCUGGGGAGAGUGGAGAGAGUGAUGGAUCCCCAUUAUUAUUGCACCCAGGGUACACUGGUCUGGGUUUAGAAUGUCUUGUGCUUUUUCAACCUUCUGUUCCCACAUUUCUCAGUAGUAUGUAUAUUAAACUCUCUUCAGUAACCCACUUUGAGUCUGCCAUUUUUUCCUGUUAGGUUCCCACCUGAAGUGGCUGCCAUGUAACAUCUACACAAACUCCAGCAAGUGGUGGUGGUAUCACCUGUGCUGUGAAUACCUCCCAGUGCAACCAUGCCUAUCACAUUGGAUGAUGCCAUUCAGAGCUGCUAGUGUCAGCAAAGCCAGGCUCCAGUGUCACCAGGGUGGUUUGCCUGCAUCACAGGUUCUUCGCCGACAUCACCAAUGGCUGUGCUGCCCAGGCUUUGCUCUCUCCAGUGCUCCUUUGAUAUUUGCGCGCCCCCCACCUCCUCCUAGGACUCAGAAGUAAGUCAUGUGAGAUGUGCGGGAAAGGAGCCAAGAGAAGGGCAAUUAGAAUCACCCUGAAGCAAAUUUGUCUUUCCAGGAUGUCCUGCCCAGGGCUUUACUGGGGUCUCACAUGAAUAGCUCUUGGCAGUGCCCCAGUGCACUAGAAAUGCUUAUAAAUUCCUGAAUCCCAAUGUGAACAGAGUUUGGGUCAGUCUGGACCCUUGCUU
rnacentral:lncRNA from 1 species